rnacentral:rRNA from 1 species
AAUGCUUUUUGAUCAAAAGACUUCGGUUGCCUAAGGAUGGAUCUGCGGUCUAUCAGGUUGUAGUGGGUGUAACGUACCUACUAGCCUACGACGGAUAUGGGUUGUGAGAGCAAGAGCCCAGAGAUGGAUUCUGAGACAUGAAUCCAGGCCCUACGGGGCGCAGCAGGCGCGAAAUCUUUACAAUGCGGGAAACCGCGAUAAGGGGACACCGAGUGCCAGCA